CUUUUGCUGUAGCUCGCAGCUUCGUCCACCACUGUUGAAGUGAAACUAAACUUAGCGAGUUCCAAGUACUCGAAAGACUUAGUUGAUGCCCUGCAGGAGUGCCAGCAGACGGCCGACGUGCUUCACGUACGGCUCGGGAAGGCCGGCCAGUUCCAUGCGCAGGUGCACGUUGGUUCGAGCCGUCUCGGUGAGGCGGCAGAUGGCGCUGAGUCCGCACGUCGGGCCUCCGGUCUCCGUGGGCGCCGUUCGGUGACCCAGGGGCACGACGAGCGCAGCCAGGGCCGACGCGGCUAUGAGCGCCGGCAGCAGAAUCCCGGUGGUGCGCAGCAGCCACAGCAGCAAGAAGCCCAGCACGACGGCGACGACGGGAAAGCCUAUCGGCUUUGGCAGAUGCCGGCCCUGGGCCAAGACCGCAGUCUUGACGGCAGCGGCUGGCGUUGCGUGCAGGAAUGGCGACAAUGGCGGAGCGGCAGCGCCGUCCUCCUUGGCCGCGACAGCCGCUGCGUCGGUUUGACUGGGUCUGUCAACUGCCGAUUACCAAUCCUGUGGCAGGCACAGGCCACGAAAGGGUUACAAGGCUUCAGUUGGUUGUUCUUAAGUUGUGAAAUUGGGAUAAAUGAUGUAUAUCGCUCAAAGGAAAUGCGUGAGCACACUUGGCGGGACAUCGAACGCGCAACUUUCUUUUCAUCGACACAGGGCGCACAGUCGAAGCUGAGAACUAUACGGUUGCGAAGCGCG